AACGAAGUAAGUAACAUUUUCAUCGGCAUUCAAUUAUUUUAACGUCAAUAGAAAUGUACAUUUUGACGUAAAAUCAACGAACUCGUUGGAAAAAAAAUUUUGAUUUUUAAUUAACAAAAUUCUAGUUCAUUUGGAUAUUUAAAUUAUUAUUAUGGCCGGAGGAGGAAUGAAAGCCAGAGCACCUAAAAGAAAAUGUGACAAAAAUGGUUGUCAUAAAGCAAGAUCACGAAAUGGAUUUAUUAUUUUCUUUAUGAGAUUAUUGAAAUGUAUGCCCACUGCUUGUGUUACUAGAGUUGCUCAAAUUGCUGGUCGAAAAUGGCAAAAAAUGCCAAAAGAUGAAAAAUGUAAAUUUCUCAAAUUAGCCCGUAAAGGAUCACCGAAAAAAUCAAAUCGAAGACGAAGGAAAAAUAAUUCCUGUAGAUCGGGCUGUAGAUCCUCGUAAUUUUUUUCAAAAUUCCAAGAUUGUAGAAGUGAAUUGUGUGAAACAAAAAUUUGGACGAUUAAAAUUUAACGAAGAGAGUAAUUGAAAAAAAAAUCACUUUUUUUGAAUAUCAUAACACAACAUUCCAGUGUCGAAAAAAUUGUUAUUGUAAAAGUUCCAGUAGUAUCAUUUGUUCAAGGUGAAAGAAAAAUUAAAAUGUUUUUUUUAUUAACAUUUAUCAUUGCUAUAAAAAUUUAGUUUGCUUUUUUGAAUAAAUAUUUCAUUAUGAAGAA